rnacentral:lncRNA from 1 species
GAUACUUUUACCCCGUUUGGUUUGGGUAUAAAUUUUAUAGGUAUAAAUUUUUAUAUACUUGUUAUUCCGGGAUAGUUAAGAAUAAAGAUAAAAAUGUGUUUGGUUUGUAAAGUUGUUAUUCCUUGUAAUAGAUAAAAUUGUGUUUGGUUUGUUUUAUAGAAUAGUGGAGAAUAAUGUAAAAAGAUGGUGGGUAAAUUUACAAAAUGCCAACUUUGCCCUCGCCUUGUGCUUACAAAAUAUGAUUUCUAUUUCAUAAUCUAAUAUAUAAAAUAAAU